UUCAUCCUGAUCUGCUGCUUCUCCUCUGCAGGUCAGGCGGGCGCCGUCACCUUCCACCAGUCCUCUUCUCUCAUCGUGAAGGAGAGGAGCGAGGUCCACAUCAACUGCAGGCACGAUGACAGCGCCCUCAUCCUCAUGCUGUGGUACCGGCGCUCAGAGGACGCCACCAUGACCCUCAUCGGGUACGGAUACGAAACGAGUCAGAACUACGAGGGCCAAAUGGAGCAGGAGUUCACGCUGGCGAGGAAAGGCACCGUGGAGGGGGUUCUGACUGUACGGGAGGCGAGGCAGAAGCACUCGGCGGUGUAUUUCUGCGCCGCCAGCACACGCUGA